AGCAGCCGCGGUAAUUCCAGCUCCAAUAGCGUAUAUUAAAGUUGUUGCAGUUAAAAAGCUCGUAGUUGAAUUUCAGGCCUGGCUGGACGGUCCGCCCUUCGGGUGAGUACUGUCUGUGGUCGGGUCCUACCUUCUGGCGAAGCGUCAUGGCCUUAACCGGCCGUGGCGGGGAACCAGGACUUUUACUGUGAAAAAAUUAGAGUGUUCAAAGCAGGCAAAUCGCUUGGAUACAUUAGCAUGGAAUAAUGGAAUAGGACGAUGGUUCUAUUUGUUGGUUUCUAGGACCGUUGUAAUGAUUAAUAGGGAUAGUUGGGGGCAUUAGUAUUCAAUUGUCAGAGGUGAAAUUCUUGGAUUUAUUGAAGACUAACUACUGCGAAAGCAUUUGCCAAGGAUGUUUUCAUUAAUCAAGAACGAAAGUUAGGGGAUCGAAGACGAUCAGAUACCGUCGUAGUCUUAACCAUAAACUAUGCCGACUAGGAAUCGGGCGAUGUUGACAAAAAUGACGCGCUCGGCACCUCAU
rnacentral:rRNA from 1 species